AUACGUGUGAUUGCAAAACUAAUUCAUGGAAAUUUUUUUCAAUCAAACAAAUGCACCAUUCAUUUCCUAUAGUAUGUAUCAAAUAUUACACUCCUGUCCACUUGUCCAAAUAAAAUAUAUGUCCUAUAAAAACCAUCUUAAAAUUUAUGUCCAACACAAUUAUUUUACAUAAUCCUACUAGAGCGAAAGGAGGAAUCCGCCCGAGGAGGGGCUCGCAUCUAAUUAGCUAGUUGGUGAGGCGAUAACUUACCAAGGCGAUGAUUAGUAGCUGGUCUGAGAGGAUGAUCAGCCACACUAGGACUGAUACAUGGCCCAAACUCCUACGAGAGGCAGCAGUGGGGAAUUUUCCGCAAUGGGCGAAAGCCUGAUGGAGCAAUGCCGCGUGGAGGUAGAAGGCCCAUGGGUCGUGAACUUCUUUUCCUGGAGAAGAAGCAAUGACGGUAUCUGGGGAAUAAACAUCGGCUAACUCUGUGCGCGGUAAUACAAAGGAUGCAAGCGUUAUCCGGAAUGAUUGGACGUAAAGCGUCUGUAGGUGGCUUUUUAAGUCCACCGUCAAAUCCUAGGGCUCAACCCUGGAUAGGCAGUGGAAACUACCAAGCUGGAGUACAACAGAGGGAAUUUCAAUGGCAGAAUUGUAAUUCUGCACAAGCAGAGAGGCACGCGUGCAACGCGCCUGAAGCCUUCUUUU
rnacentral:ncRNA from 1 species